GAGGUUGUGGCUCGGUGGUAGAGUGCUCGCCUAGCACAUGCAAGACCCUGGGUUCAAUCCUCAGCACCACA
rnacentral:tRNA from 1 species